rnacentral:rRNA from 1 species
UACGUAGGGUGCAAGCGUUAAUCGGAAUUACUGGGCGUAAAGCGUGCGCAGGCGGUGAUGUAAGACCGGUGUGAAAUCCCCGGGCUUAACCUGGGAACUGCAGUCGAGACUGUCUAGCUAGAGUAUGGGAGAGGGAAGUGGAAUUUCAGGUGUAGCGGUGAAAUGCGUAGAUAUCUGAAGGAACAUCAGUGGCGAAAGCGACUUCCUGGACCAAUACUGACGCUCAUGUGCGAAAGCGUGGGGAGCAAACAGG